GGAGCCAAAGAACUCGGCUCAUCCGGACCUUUUGAAUGGCAUUCAAGAGGUCGAGGGUUCGAUUCCCUUCGGCUCCACCA
rnacentral:tRNA from 1 species